UUUGUCCUAGUACUUCUUUCAAGUCUUCCUGCUUCUUACAGGAUGGCUUUUUAGCUUCAGACACCUGUCCCCUGUCAACUGUAAAACAUCUAUAGGGGCAAGAUCUGAUGUGCAGUUUACUGAGAAAACACUGGGCUAUCUGCAUGAGACAUGGAUUUUCAUUAUGGUUCCAACUCCGUGUGCUGUCCUAAGUCAUCGUAGUACUCCAUGACUCCAGCCCUCAUCUAUGUCUAUCAUCUUACAAAUCAUAAUUCUCAGAUGUAUCUUGUUCCGGCAACAGUUACUUCACCAAGAAAGAAGCAAAAUUGUAAACCAGCAAAAUACCAACUAUCUCAGCUACAAUAAGCAUAUUUUCUGAUUUAUAAAUGGUAUCUUUGGAUAAGCUUUCAAAGCACUUUUAUAUAUCAUGUUUGGGGGCAAAUUCUGUAAAGUUUCUUAGCUGUGGCUAACAAGAUCUCAGAGGUAUUACAUCAUCAUUAGAAGCUCUGCCAAUGAUUCAAGUAUUUCAGGUGGAGAAGAAGCACACUACCUUUUCUAUUUUAUAGGAAGAGUAAAUUUUCAAGGCCAUUUAAUUCAGCUUAUUACAAGGAUUCUCAGGUCCUCCUUCCACACCUUCUGACAAGUGCUCCCUGAUUCUUUGCUGGAGGACACCCAGGCCCAGGUGCUCAUCAUGUAAUAAACCUGAGAGUUUCUCAAGCAAGAAAAAAUGUUAAAAACACUUCCUUAAAAGUUAAAAUACAUUGUACAACAACUGGAUGUGAUCUGCAUACCAUUUAUACACAGUCUAAUUUACUCCUUUCUUCCAUGUAAAAGCACUUAAAUAAGUCUGAGAUAUAGGCCUGUAUCUGCCAUCACCUCUUAUCAAUUAUCACUUAAAUCAAAGUCUGACUCACACUGUUGUUCAAUAAAAUUAGGUGAAUAAAUUAGGUUGGAAGACUCUCCCCGUGUUUUCUUUUUUCAAGCCAACUCCAAAAAUGGUGCUUACUCUCUUUCUUAAAAAGACAAAACAAACAAACAAACAAACAAAAAACAAUUAACUGAGGCUGCACCUUUUGGAUGGGCCUUCUGGGUUCCUGAGAUCUCUCUCUCUCCCCUUGAUCUCACAGGCCUUAUUGUGGUAAUGGCUUCCUACUGGAGCUGGG